rnacentral:lncRNA from 1 species
UUAAGGCACCAUUUAAAGGAGUGAGAAAAUCCUAAGUUUAUUCUCCUUUCUUUAAAAACAAUUCUCAACCACUAACUUCUCUUUCCUUUUCAACAUUAACGCCUCCGCUGCCUUUAGUAGAAAAAGAAAGAACUUUGUUUCUUCCUCUCAUUUGCUAUAGCCAUUGAAGCAGUAAGCUCCGAUCCCCUUUUUUUGUUAGUUUAUUUGUUUUCAGAGAAGAGAGAAGCCACAACCUCUCUAAUCUUCUUCUUAGUGGAUACCACCGGCGACGGUGGUAUUCAAGCGGCAACUGGCUGAAAUAAAAUUUAAGAGUUUUAUUUAGUUGUUUCAUUAAAAUGAAUUAAGUUGUAUUUUAUUGUAUUCAAUUGUAUACAGUUCUACUCAAUUGUAUACAGUUCUACUCAAUUGUAUACAAUUCUACUCAAUUGUAUUAUUCAUAUGUAAUUCUCUUUAUUCAUCUAUAAUCUUUAUUAUGUAUCUUUUAAAUAUAG